UUUUAAAGUAAAUAUUGUUGGUUUAAGAUGUUUAUAGUUAUAUGAUUUCUUUAUAAGCUGAAACAUCUGUGCCUGAGCCAUCACCAUACUGCAUUCAGAGAGUAAUCAAAACUAGUUCCAGUGCAUUGAAGAAAGGAUUUCUGAAUCAAUGGAAAUUAAGAAUGGCUGCUAUGAAAAAACCAUGUUGAUGAACAAAUAUG
rnacentral:lncRNA from 12 species